AGUAAACGAAGACAACGACUCUGCUUACACUUACCAUUUGCAUGGGUACUCGUUUUUCGUAAUUGCAUCGACUCGAAUGACUCAACAUGAGAAUUGGCAGACUCAGCUGCUUAAUUUGGGGCGUAACUAUGAUCGACCCGUCCUACUAGACACAGUCAGAAUAGAGAGCAAUUCGAUGGUAGUACUGCGAUUCGUCGCUUCAAAUGCAGGACUAUGGAUGCUGCGAGACCUUGAUGCAGAGCAUGAGUGGAGUCGAGGACUUGAUGUACUGUUGAAUGUAAGAGCUUCAGAGACUGAAAUCAAUUUUCCGGAUGAUUUUCCCAAGUGUAGGCAUUUUGUUGGACCAAAGUAUUUUCUGAUAUAGACAUAAUUUAUAAAA